rnacentral:piRNA from 1 species
UCCUUUGUAGGUUUUCCAAUGCCUCGCCCU